ACUCCACCUCCCCUUUGGGACGCGUAACCUCUCUAGGACUCCGGAGGACCAACCCCCCCACCUCUGUGGUCUUAACCCUUCUAUUCCCAGGGGCCAAGAUUCCGAGCCUGGGCUAAGGAUGGGAGGCGGUCCGCUGGCACCGGGUUGGCGGGAACCUGAUCCGGAGAAGGAACGUGCGUGAGAGCGAGCGCAGGCGACUGACAGAGGAACCGACAGCAGACGUGGGGAGAGUUCUCCCUAGGACCAGACCGGUACGCCUUCGUGUCUCAGGACCAGAAUUCUCUUUAGCCAAGUAGGAUAGGUGCUCACUGAGAGAAGAGUUGUUUCUGUCCGACGCCUCAUCUCUUCGGGAUCAGAAUUGCUGUCGGACAGUCUGGGAGGCGUGACUGCUGAAUCCACUUUCUCCCCACACACAACGUCCAGUGAUGUGCACCCAGCAAGCGCCCGUGGGAUCCUUCUGAACGGAAGAAAUUCUGCUCUCUGUCAGCCUGUGCUGUUAGGUGUCCCCAGGAAACCCACGCGUCUUCUGCGGACAGACCUGGCUCGAGAACAGGUACGUUUAUUGGAUUCCGAACUUGUGGUCGCAUCAGAGAGCGCGGCAGCUCACCUGACCCUGCCAGGCUUGUCUCCCAGCCGGAGGGUCGAAGGAAGGGCUUUUCCUCCUGAAGGUCAAAGGUCUAAAUUCAGACAGUCAUUUGGGGUGUGUUUAGCAAGGGUAACGUGGCAUUCCACGUUUAUUGACCCUUUACCAGGUAUCAGACAGUAUUCUCCAUGUGUCUCUCUAUCCCCUGAUCUAAUCCCCUCUCACAGACCCCUCGUUUUGCAAGGUUUCCGUGCUCAUUGCCAAGGCGAGAAAGUGGAACACAGAGAGGUUGGGGGACCCGCUCUGAGUCACACAGGCCAUCAGAGGAGGAGGGACACCCAGACGUAUGCAUCCAGGACUCAGAGCCCACACACUUGACUUUUGAAGUUAAAGUUGACAUGGGGUACUAUAUUCCUUUUAGGUGCACAGAAAGGUGCACAGUGUGUUUAUACAUUAUGAAAUGAGGACCACGAUGAGUAUGGCCACCAUCUGUCACCAUGCAGACUUAUUACAAUAUUGUGGACUCUCUCUCCCGCAUUGUAUGUUCCGUUCCCCUGAUUUAUGUAGUUUAUGACUGGAAGUCUGUAUCUCUUAACCCCCUUCCCCUCUGGCAGCCACCGGUUAGUUAGAUAUGGAAGUACCUCUGACUCUGUUUCCGCUUUGUUCUCUGUGUUCGCUUGAUUUAUUUUUGAGGUUCCAUAUGGAAGUGUAAUCAUGUGCUAUAUGGCUUUCCUCCCUGUCUGACUUAUUUCCCUUAGCAUAAUGCCCUCUAGGUCCUUCCGUGUUGCUGCGAAUGGCAUGAUGUCAUUCUUUUUU
rnacentral:lncRNA from 1 species